AUUUUACAACAAAAUAAUUCGCCAGAGGACUACUAGCAAUAGCUUAAAACUCAAAGGACUUGGCGGUGCUUUAUAUCCCUCUAGAGGAGCCUGUUCUAUAAUCGAUAAACCCCGAUAAACCUCACCAC
rnacentral:rRNA from 1 species